AUCAGGGUGGAGCUCCGUUCUCUCCGAAGCGAUGACGUCAUCACACACUCGCCUGUCACUUGUGAAGAGACUGGAGAGCGGCUCGUAUAUUCAUCCUAUUUGAGAGGUUCUGCUAAGGAUAAAAUGAGCAGCAUGUCCAGUUACCAGGAUGACAACAGCAUACCUCUGGUAGAUGAUGACCCAUCAGUGGUGCUGGAUGACGACCGCACUGCAGCAUCGGAGAUUUCAGACUCAACUCGCGGCCAGAGCCUAGAGUCCAUCCCUUCAGCCUAUACCAAUGGGUCCAACAGUCCUCUGCACAAUAGUUUAGAACCAGACAUGUCACCAGACGAACAGGAAGAGAAGGCACGGCUCAUAUCACAGGUGCUGGAGCUGCAGAAUACGCUUGAUGAUCUCUCCCAGCGAGUGGACAGUGUCAAGGAGGAGAACCUGAAACUGCGAUCGGAAAACCAGGUCCUGGGACAGUACAUAGAAAACCUCAUGUCGGCCUCUUCAGUAUUCCAGUCAACAUCGCCCAAAACUAAGAAAAAUAAACAGUGGCGCCAGUUUGAAGCUUAAGAUUUCUACAGAUAAUUAUGGGAGGUUGGUGAAGGGCUACGUAACUUGUUACACCCAAGAUAAAUGAUCUGAACGCCUGCUUUAGCUUCGUGCAAAGUUGAUGCAUCACUGCUGAGCCCCAUCACUGGUUAUUACAGCUUUUUCCUUGAAAUUUUUAAAAGUGUUAGAGUGACAGUUUGGUUUCCUGUGGAAAUUUAUAUGUAUCACAAAUCUAUGUAUGUGUGUAUAUAUAAUAUAUAUAUCUAUUAUUAUUAUAUUAUUUUUUCACAUCUUAUUGGUCAUGGUUUGAUUUAAUGUUCUGGAGAUGCCUGGUAUGUGUGAUUUUGAUAUAUAGGAAUAUUGCAAAAUAAUUCAUUAGAUGCUUGCACUUAACAGCAGAGGAAUGAAUCUUUAGAAUGCAGGUAGACUUUUCUCUCUCUCUCUCACUCCAGUUUUGAAAUGAAAAAGAUUAUUGGCAGCACUCGUUGCCAACAUAUCAAUGAUUUUAUCAGUAAGGUUUUUUAAUGCUAGUCUUGGUAAGAAUUGCAUUGUAUAUUAAUGCAUGAUAUCACAUUUGUAUUCUUUAAGUGAGAAGAAGUACCUUAAUGCAGAUAUUUGAGUUUCAAAUAAAGGAGGAUACAAAAGAAAAUUAGUAAAAUGAAUUUCCUCUCUUAGAGAAGAAUGUAAGAUCUGAAAUUUGAAUACCAUAGAAGUUCAAUUUGCAUAUGUAGCUGUGAAACUAGAAGAAAAAACAUGAAGUGUAUAAAGGAUGCUACAUUUGUGUUAAUUUACAUUUAGUACUUUAUAAACUGUGUUAUUAUAAUCAUAUUAUAAUUGUUACUUGUGUUACUGUAUUUGUUAAUCAAUUUAUGAAUGACUAAAUAUGUAUAGUAUAAAUACGAAGAGGAAAAAGUUGAAGGAAUGGUCAAUGAAAGGUAUGGUGCAUAGAAAAACAUUUUAAGAAAACAGAGGAAAUAAAAUUUGCUGAGAGGACAAAAAACACAGAACAUGUUUUGUCUUAUCUUCUGCUUCUUCUUUUUUCUAUUCUUUGAUUUGAAUCAUGUUUGUAAAAAUAUAUCAAUCUUUUACCGACAGACAUUGGAAUGUGUAUUCAUAAUAUGGGAAUAGGAGAGAAAAUUAUUGUAGAUAAUAGUAUUCCAUGUAUGAAGAUUUUACUUAGCCUUGAAGACAUUAAGAAACAUAAAGGACAUUUCUUCCUUCACUGGUUGAAUGGACAAAGGAAAAUGAAAAUAUGAUAAAGUAGAUUAACCUGAACUAUUGGUUGUUAUAUAUGUAAAUGAUUUGUUUAGAAUAAAGAAAAGCUGUCCUCUUUAGAUUCAAACUAAGUUCUAGUCAUUUUGUCUAGAUUCUUCAGCAGAAUUUAAAUUGUUCUUUUUUAAAGUGACAGCAUAUUUUUUGUCCAGACAUUUGUUUAGUACUUGAAGUUCACAUAUAAACUCUUGUAGAUCACUCUACUGAAUUGUCAUGCAUUUAGUCCUGGAGGUUAUCUUUAAUUUUAGUAAUGUAAAUUUAUACAUUUAUAUUUUUACUUUUGUAGAUUCUUUACCCUGAUUCAGUUAACCUGAAGCAAGAUAUAAAAAGUCAUAAUAGGUUUUAAAAGAACUGAAUGUUCAGUCUGAUUUACAUAACCUAUUGAAAAUCACUGAAUGAGUAUUGUAUGUGAUAGCUUAUACUAUGUCAACCAAAGCCUGAAAUAUUCAAUAAAGAUGAUACUACAGA
rnacentral:misc_RNA from 1 species